GUGCGCGGCCGCCGGCAGCGCUUCUGAGGCUCGGAGAUAAAGAGGUUGUGCCGGGACCGCUUUCCACACAGCAAUUAACAGGAAGAGACCGCACCGAGCAAAUAUUCCAAUUGCCGAUCCAGGAGGUGCCAAUAUGUUUUGCCGUUCCGCGAUUGUGUUCUGGAGGCGGCAGCAGGGCUGCUACACUGAAGGAUGUUUUCUCAAGCAUCAUCCACAGAUGACCACGACACAUGGAGUAUGCUACUGGACUUUCCAGGAGGAAUGGCACUAUCUCUGCUUUUGUUCAAGUGCUUCACACAAAGACCCAGUGGGAAGGGUCUGCAGCUGGCUGCAUUUGAACCCUCGAGCUGGUGCCUGAUGCUGGAGCACAGUAACAGAAGGGGCUCAUGGUGUUGCAUCUUCACACAGCUGAGAAAUGGGAAUAUCUUGUUCUGAGCAGCACCUUGUGGCUCCCAGAGCUGCCAGGAGCUACAAGUGAAAUGUUCCAAACACAGAGUCUUGUGGCAAAUAUCCCAAACAUG